rnacentral:rRNA from 1 species
UACAGAGGUGGCUAGCGUUGUUCGGAAUUACUGGGCGUAAAGGGCGCGUAGGCGGUCGCCUAAGUCGGACGUGAAAUCCCCAGGCUUAACCUGGGAACUGCAUUCGAGACUGCAUUGCUAGAGUAUGGGAGAGGGAAGUGGAAUUUCCGGUGUAGCGGUGAAAUGCGUAGAUAUCGGAAGGAACAUCAGUGGCGAAAGCGACUUCCUGGACCAAUACUGACGCUCAGGUGCGAAAGCGUGGGGAGCAAACAGG